CCUACGGGGGCAGCAGUGGGGAAUAUUGGACAAUGGGCGAAAGCCUGAUCCAGCCAUGCCGCGUGUGUGAAGAAGGCCUUCGGGUUGUAAAGCACUUUCAGUGGGGAAGAAAGCCUUGGGGCUAAUACCCUCGAGGAAGGACAUCACCCACAGAAGAAGCACCGGCUAACUCCGUGCCAGCAGCCGCGGUAAUACGGAGGGUGCGGGCGUUAAUCGGAAUUACUGGGCGUAAAGCGCGCGUAGGCGGUCUGAUAAGCCGGUUGUGAAAGCCCCGGGCUCAACCUGGGAACGGCAUCCGGAACUGUCAGGCUAGAGUGCAGGAGAGGAAGGUAGAAUUCCCGGUGUAGCGGUGAAAUGCGUAGAGAUCGGGAGGAAUACCAGUGGCGAAGGCGGCCUUCUGGACUGACACUGACGCUGAGGUGCGAAAGCGUGGGUAGCAAACAGGAUUAGAUACCCCAGUAGUC
rnacentral:rRNA from 1 species